rnacentral:rRNA from 1 species
UACGUAGGGGGCAAGCGUUGUCCGGAUUUAUUGGGCGUAAAGAGCGUGUAGGCGGCCGUACAGGUCAGCUGUGAAAACUCGAGGCUCAACCUCGAGACGUCGGUUGAAACCGUACGGCUAGAGUCCGGAAGAGGUGAGUGGAAUUCCGAGUGUAGAGGUGAAAUUCGUAGAUAUUCGGAAGAACACCAGUGGCGAAGGCGGCUCAC